rnacentral:rRNA from 1 species
UAGGGAAUCUUCGGCAAUGGGGGCAACCCUGACCGAGCAACGCCGCGUGAGUGAAGAAGGUUUUCGGAUCGUAAAGCUCUGUUGUAAGAGAAGAACGUGUGUGAGAGUGGAAAGUUCACACAGUGACGGUAACUUACCAGAAAGGGACGGCUAACUACGUGCCAGCAGCCGCGGUAAUACGUAGGUCCCGAGCGUUGUCCGGAUUUAUUGGGCGUAAAGCGAGCGCAGGCGGUUUAAUAAGUCUGAAGUUAAAGGCAGUGGCUUAACCAUUGUUCGCUUUGGCAACUGUUAAACUUGAGUGCAGAAGGGGAGAGUGGAAUUCCAUGUGUAGCGGUGAAAUGCGUAGAUAUAUGGAGGAACACCGGUGGCGAAAGCGGCUCUCUGGUCUGUAACUGACGCUGAGGCUCGAAAGCGUGGGGAGCAAACAGG